rnacentral:tRNA from 1 species
GGGGACUUAGGAAUAACUAAGACCAAGAGCCUUCAAAGCUCUAAGUAGGAGUGAGACUCUCCUAGUCCCUG